rnacentral:rRNA from 1 species
AUACGGAGGAUGCGAGCGUUAUCCGGAUUUAUUGGGUUUAAAGGGUGCGUAGGCUGUGCGUUAAGUCGGGGGUGAAAUGCCGUCGCUCAACGACGGAGCUGCCCUUGAUACUGGCGUGCUGGAGUACGGAUGCCGUUGGAGGACUGAGUGGUGUAGCGGUGAAAUGCUUAGAUAUCACUCAGAACACCGAUUGCGAAGGCAUCUGACGAAUCCGUCGCUGACGCUGAGGCACGAAAGCGUGGGGAUAGAACAGGAUUAGAUACCCUGGUAUUCCACGCCGUAAACGAUGAUGACUAACCGUCGGCGAUAGACAGCCGGUGGCCAAGCGAAAGCGAUAAGUCAUCCACCUGGGGAGUACGUCGGCAACGAUGAAACUCAAAUGAAUUGACGGGG